CUAGUAAUUAUUAAGAACAUGAAUCUCAAAGAAAGAAAAUCCUUAAUACACUCUUGUAUUAUUGAAAGGAAAUACAAAGUCACUCAAAGAUAAUAUAAUAUUAAACUAGAAUAUCUGUUGCCAAAAACAAAAAGACUAGAAAGUCUUGAAACAAGAUUAAGGACUAGAAAGGCAUUGAUAAGAGUGAAGAAGGCUUCACUCUUGCCUCCAUAUAUACUCUCUAAGUAGAAGCUAUGUGGCAAUAUUCUAUUGGACAUCUAUAGUAUUGUUUUAUUUAUUCUAGACUAAUCUAAUCAAAAUAAACCUGUAUAGGUGGAUUCAAACAUAAAAAAAGACUAUUUACAUGAGAUAAACUUGCUAAGAUCACAUAAUUAACUAUUUCUAAUUGGCUAAAUUCAAUGGGCCCAUAAAACACUCCAAAAUGACUUUAAUUUCUAUAACUACCCAUAGAUUCUUCUUCACGGUCAAAUGUAAACGUUUGUAAUAUUUUCUCUCAUAAAUCUCUUAUUUUACUCACUUGAAUUUUUUCAAUCUCAUAACAUCAUUAUGUAAUACUGCAUUGUCUUAAUAGACUAUAUACAUACAUUCAAUAUUCUAAUUAUUGGAAAUAAAUCUUCACUAAGAAUACAUUUCAAAAUUAAUCAUUUCUUCUAUAUUCUCUUUUACACAUCUAAUUCUAUUCAUUUCUUACAAAUUUCUUUCACUAUUCAACUAUUAUAGCCAAUAUGGCACAAUAUCAUCACUUGUAGUUGAACUACAUCCAUAUCUUCAAUCACUAGCUUCUAAUCCACCAAAUAUAAUUCAAUAAUCAACAAAUUUAGUUUCUUAUUCAAUAAUAUAUAAAUCCAAUUUUUAUUUCAUUACAACACUCUUUAUUUACAUUAUUCAACAAUUAGAAUGGAUCACAAUCUAUCAACUCUAGUGUUAUCACAAAAAAAUAAAUAAAUAAAUAAAAUAAAAUAAGAGGUAGCUCCAAGCUUAUUUCUAACUCUAGACUCUUAUAGUCUUCGCUCCUUCUGUUUCUUCUUCAACAAAUUUAUACUUAUUCUUAAAUACCAAAUAUUACAAAUCUAAUGUUAAUUACUUUUUCUUCUUAAUUAUCUAUUAUAUUCUCUAAAUUAUUCAUUCUUCAAUUUAUUGGCUUUCUUUAAUCCUACAUAUAAUGUAUUAUAAGACAUAAAGAUCCUAUCCAUUCUAUAUAGUCCGGCUCUUAACUAUGCAAUGUCUUUGCAAAUGUAAAAUUGGUAAAAAAAAAUCUUUUUAAUUAAUCCUUAAAUUUUUUUUUUAUCAAUUCUAACAUUCACCAAAGGUAGUUCCACUAAUUUUGGCUCUAAUGAUAAGUCUUCAUCCUCCUCUCAUACUUCAAUUGGCUCUUUCUUCAAUUGGAUUAAUAAUUCCUCAUUGUAUACUCCCAAUUCAUGAACUUUGGCCUCCAAUUGUAGAAUCCUAACAUCCUUUGCUCCCAAUUGGUAUUGCUAUUGCCUCAACUUUUCCUCCAAUUCAUCAAUUGUUGAAAUUAGUAAGGCAGACAUUUGUGACCAACCAAUAC
rnacentral:lncRNA from 1 species